rfam:Neosartorya udagawae DNA, contig:Aud0368, strain: IFM 46973.
GGCAAGGUGGCCGAGUGGUUAAGGCGUUUGAUUCGAAUUGGAUGUUGAUUAUCAUCAUCCCGAAUAUCAAAUUCAUUCGUGAGCCGGGGUUCAAAUCCCCGCCUUGUCG